rnacentral:rRNA from 1 species
UGUGCCAGCAGUCGCGGUAAUACAAAGAGGGUAAGCAUUAAUCAUAAUGGUUUAAAGGAUCCGUAGAAUUAAUAUUAUUAUAUAUAUAUAUAUAAUAAAUUAGAGUUAAUAAAUUUAAUUAAAGAAUUAUAAUAGUAAAGAUGAAAUAAUUAUAAUAAUUAUAAGACUGAUAUAUGUGAAAAUAUUAAUUAAAUAUUAACUGACAUUGAGGGAUGAAAACUAAAGUAGCAAAACAGAUUCGAUACCUGUGUAGUUUUAGUAGUAAACUAUGAAUACUAUUAUUUAUAUAUAAUAUAUAAAUAAUAAACGAAAGUGUAAGUAUUCCACCUGAAGAGUACGUUAAUGAAACUCAAAACAAUAGACGGUUAUAGUCAACAACAGUGGAGCAU